UGGGGAAUUUUGGACAAUGGACGAAAGUCUNNUCCAGCCAUGCCGCGUGCGGGAAGAAGGCCUUCGGGUUGUAAACCGCUUUUGUCAGGGAAGAAAUCCUUUGAGCUAAUACCUCGGGGGGAUGACGGUACCUGAAGAAUAAGCACCGGCUAACUACGUGCCAGCAGCCGCGGUAAUACGUAGGGUGCAAGCGUUAAUCGGAAUUACUGGGCGUAAAGCGUGCGCAGGCGGUUAUGUAAGACAGAGGUGAAAUCCCCGGGCUCAACCUGGGAACUGCCUUUGUGACUGCAUAGCUUGAGUGCGGCAGAGGGGGAUGGAAUUCCGCGUGUAGCAGUGAAAUGCGUAGAUAUGCGGAGGAACACCGAUGGCGAAGGCAAUCCCCUGGGCCUGCACUGACGCUCAUGCACGAAAGCGUGGGGAGCAAACAGGAUUAGAUACCCUGGUAGUCCACGCCCUAAACGAUGUCAACUGGUUGUUGGGAAGGUUCCUUCUCAGUAACGUAGCUAACGCGUGAAGUUGACCGCCUGGGGAGUACGGCCGCAAGGUUG
rnacentral:rRNA from 1 species